rnacentral:rRNA from 1 species
AGCAGUGGGGAAUUUUCCGCAAUGGGCGAAAGCCUGACGGAGCAAUACCGCGUGAGGGAGGAAGGCUCUUGGGUCGUAAACCUCUUUUCUUGGGGAAGAACACAAUGACGGUACCUAAGGAAUAAGCAUCGGCUAACUCCGUGCCAGCAGCCGCGGUAAUACGGAGGAUGCAAGCGUUAUCCGGAAUGAUUGGGCGUAAAGCGUCCGCAGGUGGCAAUGAAAGUCUGCUGUUAAAGAGUCUAGCUCAACUAGAUACAAGCAGUGGAAACUACAUAGCUAGAGUACGUUCGGGGCAGAGGGAAUUCCUGGUGUAGCGGUGAAAUGCGUAGAGAUCAGGAAGAACACCAGUGGCGAAGGCGCUCUG